rnacentral:rRNA from 1 species
GCUCAGGAUGAACGCUAGCUACAGGCUUAACACAUGCAAGUCGAGGGGUAGCAGGGUAGCAAUACCGCUGACGACCGGCGCACGGGUGAGUAACACGUAUCCAACCUUCCCAUAACUCAGGGAUAGCCUUUCGAAAGAAAGAUUAAUACCUGAUAGUACUUAAGAAAGGCACCUUUUUUAAGUUAAAGAUUUAUUGGUUAUGGAUGGGGAUGCGUUCCAUUAGAUAGUUGGUGAGGUAACGGCUCACCAAGUCUUCGAUGGAUAGGGGUUCUGAGAGGAAGGUCCCCCACAUUGGUACUGAGACACGGACCAAACUCCUACGGGAGGCAGCAGUGAGGAAUAUUGGUCAAUGGGCGAGAGCCUGAACCAGCCAAGUAGCG